UUAGUAGCGGCGAGUGAACAGGGAAAAGCCCAGCACUGAAUCGCACGGUCGAAACGCCGUUGCGAAAUGUAGUGUAUAGGAGGGUCCGUUAAUCUGUGAUUUGGUGAUGCGUCCAAGUCCUUCUUGAAGGGGGCCCUUACCCAUAGAGGGUGCCAGGCCCGUAGGACCGUUACCGAUUGCGGAUGGAUCUCUCCUUUGAGUCGGGUUGCUUUAGAGUGCAACCCUAAGUAGGUGGUAAACUCCAUCUAAGGCUAAAUAUAACCACGAGACCGAUAGCGAACAAGUACCGUGAGGGAAAGUUGAAAAGAACUUUGAAGAGAGAGUUCAAUAGUACGUGAAACCGUUUAGGGGUAAACCUGAGAAACCCGAAAGUUCGAACGGGGAGAUUCAAUGUGUUGUGGAAGGCAAUGUCAUUUGUACUGUAUCGCGGUUUUAAACCAAGGUCUUAUAUUUGGCUAACGUCUGAAGAGCGCUCGCAAUUCUCCUCUAGUAGGACGCCGUGACCCGUUCGGCGUCGGUCUUAGGCUUGCAGUGGAGCUCAUACUUCGUCCUCGGUCGUUGUGCGAACCUGCGAUGUCCCGGCCGAAUCGCUUGACGGUGUAAAAAUUGACGCAGGGCAGUGUAUACGCUCGGCGCGAUGUAAGCGCGUAGGGUUACCUGUGGUCGGACAUGUGCCGAUGCUCGGGGCCAGACGUUAGUUUAUGUUUGCGUUCGGGUAGAACCUGUGUCGGUUGACGGCGCUAUUGCUUUGGGUACUUUCAGGACCCGUCUUGAAACACGGACCAAGGAGUCUAGCAUGUGCGCGAGUCAUUGGGACUAGCGAAUCCUAAAGGCGCAAUGAAAGUAACGUCAAGUUUGGCUUGCUGCGAGGGAAGACGGGUUGAUUUUUAUCGCUCUGCACUCCCGGGACGUCUCGUUCUCAUUGCGAGAUGAGGCGUACCUAGAGCGUACAUGUUGGGACCCGAAAGAUGGUGAACUAUGCUUGGUCAGGAC
rnacentral:rRNA from 1 species